rnacentral:lncRNA from 11 species
ACACACACACACAUAUAUAUAGAUAUAUUGGGGAUAUAUAUAUAUAUAUAUAUAUAUCCAUAUAUAUAUAUAUAUCCCUAUACAAACACACACACACACACACAUAUAUAUAUAUCUCCUUAUACACACAUAUACAUAUUUAUAUAUUCCCAUAUAUACACACACACACAUUUAUAUAUAUAUAUAUAUAUAUAUAUAUAUACACACACACACUAGCUGUGCCCGGCCACGCGUUGCUGUGGCAAUGUGGUGGUGGUAUUGGUUAAAAAUUGUUGUGUAAUUUUUAUUUGAUGUUAUUUGUAUUUUUUAUUAAUUUUAUUGUAAGUUAUCUUUUUAUUUAUUAUAUUUUAUUAUUUUCUUGUAUUAUUUUUAGUCAUUUUCUGUUAUUAUAGUAUUUUAUUCUCUUAAUUUUUUUAGUGUUUUUAAUUAUUUUUUAGUGUUUUUAAUUAUUUUUUAGUGUUUUUAAUUAUUUUUUUAUUGGGUUGCUAGGAGACCAAGUUGGAGGAGCUUAGCCUUCUAACUGGCAGCAAUUGGAUAAAAGCAAUUAUUCCUCUCUCUCUAAUUAGGACUUUAUUUUUCUUUUCUUUUUGUUGUAUCAACCUAGAGGCGUGGAUGAGGGGUUGUGUUGUCAAAUUUCAAGGUUGGGGGGCCUGUAGUUUUGUGGGUCGCCGUGAUGCCAUCACUCUUUUAUAUAUAUAGAUAUCCCUCCCAAAAUAAUCCUCUAUCAAUAACAAUAGCAACAACACCAAGGUGACUCCCAGUGUCCCAUUUCCUGCCCAGGGACGGACUCCCUGAGGCGCCCGGGCCGAGGAGCCAAGGCCCCAGGGAGGGGUGCGGGCCCCUUAAGCCACUCCAGGAGAAAGAGAGAGAGAGAGACGGGUCUAUUUUGGGAAGAGACGCCCGGCAGGGGCCGCCUUACCUGGGGAAGCUCAGGGGAGAGGGCGGCGGAGACGGCAGAGGAAGAGGCAGCGGGAGCCGGAGCGGGAGCCGGAGCAGCAUCCGUGGGGCCCUUUAGCUCCUCGGCAGGGGCUCCGGGCUGGGAAGAAGGCGCCGGGCUCUCUCUGCGGGGAGGCGGGCAGGGGAAGAGGACCAGGAGGCCAGCAUCCCCAGAGCGCGCAGAAAGAAAGAGACACAGAGAUAGGAAAAAGCAGCGCGUCCAGUGCCUCCUGCGCCGGGCCGAGAGGCUGAGACAGCAGCGGGCGCGAGCGCAAGCACCGCUCCAAACGUUGGGCACGCACGCACACGCGCGCGCGCCUGCCUGCCUGCCUCCCUUCUCCCCGGGCAGCAGGCUCCGCCCACCUCCCUUCUCAAGCCCCGCCCCCUCUCUCUUUCUCAGGCCCCGCCCUCUCCGUUGCCAGGACACCCAACUGGGAGGCUAUGGGGUGAUUUUAAUAUUUUGGGGGGAAGAAGAAAGACAGGAUGUUUUUUUGUUUUUUUUUAAAGGUGCCAACUGUACAGAUCCUGCUGACGUUUUGCCCACCAUCUUUCAGGCAGCUUCCCUUUCUUUUUCCGGCUCUUUCGUGGCUAUAUUUGGUUGUCGAUUCCAUCACCUUUCCUUGUGUCUCUUCUUCCUCUCCCAUGCUUGCCUUGAAUGCUUUUGAUUUCCUUAAUAUUAAAAUUGUUUUCUAUUGCAUUCGUUCUGGAGGAGAUUUCUGUGCUUCACGUAUAUCGGUUGAAACUGCAAGACUUGGAUGCCAGGGGAAGCUUUCCGCCAGUGAUUGAUUUCUGCACAAAUGAUGAUGUGCUAAAGGUUUGAUUUUUUUUAUAGUCGUGUUAAAAUGUUGAACUGUAAUGGUGCUAUUCCUGUGUUCCUCGGGGCAAGAGUGUCACUCGUACACAUACAUGCUGCAAAAGAGACCCGAGGCAUUGGCAGCAACUGUCCAUAAAAGAAUUGGAAAUGUAUGUGUGCAAAGGGGGAGCUUGUUGGGUUGCUAUUAGUUUUCUGGACUGUCUGGCCAUGUUCCAGAAGCAUUCUCUCCUGACGUUUCACCCACAUCUAUGGCAAGCAUCCUCAGAGGUUGUGAGGUCUGUUGGAAACUAGGCAAGUGGGAUAUAUAUAUAUAUACACACACACACACACACACACACACAUAUAUAUAUAUAUAUACACACACACACAUAUAUACAUACAUACAUACACACAUACAUACACACACACACACUUGUAAAAUAAUGUCCAGGAUAGGAAAAAGAACUCUUGUCUGUUUGAGGCAAGUGGCCACCUUGAUUAGCAUUGAAUAACCUUGCAGCUUCAAGGCCUGGCUGCUUCCUGCCUGGGGGAUCCUCUGUUGGGAGGUGUUAGCUGGCACCGAUUGUUUCCUGUCUGGAAUUUUUCUGUUGUCUGAGUGUUGUUCUUUAUUUGCUGUCCUGAUUCUAGAG